rnacentral:rRNA from 1 species
GACGAACGCUGGCGGCGUGCCUAAUACAUGCAAGUCGAGCGAACCAAUAGGAGCUUGCUCCUGUUGGUUAGCGGCGGACGGGUGAGUAACACGUGGGCAACCUGCCUGUAAGACUGGGAUAACACCGGGAAACCGGUGCGAAUACCGGAUAAUCCUUUUCCUCUCAUGAGGGAAAGUAUAAAGUCGGUUUCGGCUGACACUUACAGAUGGGCCCGCGGCGCAUUUGCUAGUUGGUCAGGUAACGGCUCACCAAGGCGACGAUGCGGAGCCGACCUGAGAGGGUGAUCGGCCACACUGGGACUGAGACACGGCCCAGACUCCUACGGGAGGCAGCAGUAGGGAAUCUUCCACAAUGGACGAAAGUCUGAUGGAGCAACGCCGCGUGAGCGAUGAAGGCCUUCGGGUCGUAAAGCUCUGUUGUUAGGGAAGAACAAGUACCGGAGUAACUGCCGGUACCUUGACGGUACCAACCAGAAAGCCACGGCUAACUACGUGCCAGCCGCCGCUGUAAGAC